CCUGUGUCUGCAUUUCUUCCAGCUCAUUCGCUGCCUGGGACCCCCCAGUAUUCUUCAUUUAAACCAGAUAAUUCAUGCCAUUUCCCAUUCACCUAUGAAGACCAAAAGUAUUUUGAUUGCACCAAAAUGGAUUCCCUAAGUAGCUGGUGUUCUCUGACUGAAGAGUAUACUGGGAGAUGGAAAUACUGCACUAAGGAUGACUACGCCCGCUGUUUUUUCCCCUUUAUGUAUAAUGGCAAGGUGUAUGACAGUUGCACAAGUGAUGGGAGCGCCUUUAACAGGUUUUGGUGUGCACUCAGUCCAGACUAUGACAAAGAUGGAUUUUGGAAGCAUUGCUACGAUUGAAAGGAAAGGUGGCUCUGCCCUCGUCCAGGGAUGCAGUCAAGGCUUUGAAACCAAAGUGCAGAAAAAUCAAGAAAUCUUAAGAAUAAAGGUGGAUGCUCUGAGCGACAGAGGUGGAAUCCUGUCCCUGCAACUCCACAUCCCUCCUGCGGGUCAA